AUUCCAGCUCCAAUAGCGUAUAUUAAUGUUGUUGCAGUUAAAAAGCUCGUAGUCGGAUUUCAAUGCGGGUUGACCGGUCUGCCGAUUGGUAUGCACUGGCCGAGCCGUAUUUCCUCCCGGAGACCUCGUCUACACUUAACUGAGGCGGACGGGGGAAACGGGAUUUUUACUUUGAGGAAAUCAGAGUGUUCAAAGCAGGCUUUUGUAUGUAUGUGUUAGCAUGGGAUAAUAAAAUAGGACUUGGGUGCUAUUUUGUUGGUUUCGAACACCUAAGUAAUGAUUAAUAUGGAUAGUCAGGGGCACUCGUAUUCCACCGAGAGAGGUGAAAUUCUUAGACCAGUGGAAGACGAACUUCUGCGAAAGCAUUUGCCAGGGAUGUUUUCAUUA
rnacentral:rRNA from 1 species